UUUUCCACUUUGACCAGAUUCCUUCUUUAAUCUUGGCAAAGAUGGGAGGGAAUGAAGAAGGAGAGGGUGGGAGGAAGGAGAGAAGGUAGGGAGAGAGGAGAGGAAGGCAGAGAAAUAGACUAAAGGUUAGAGGGUAGAAGGGAAUUCUAGACUAACGUAAACAAGAGAAAAGUUUCUCAUUUAAAGUGUAUGUCUGGGCCAGGUGUGGUGGCUCACACCAGUAAUUCCAGCACUUUGAGAAGACGAGGUAGGUGGAUCACCUGAGCGAGACUCCAUCUCUAAAUAAAUAAAUAAAGUGUAUUUCUGGCUGGGCACAAUGGCUGACGCCUGUAAUCCCAGGACUUUCGGAAGCUGAAACAGGAGGAUUUCUUGAGCGCAGGAGUUCAAAAUCAGCCUGGGCAACAUAGCAAGACCCCAUCUCUAUAACAUAAAUAAAUAAAAUGUGUUUCUACCUGGUGUGGUGGCUCAUGUCUAUAAUCUCAGUGCUCUGGGAGGCUGACGUGGGAGGAUCAUUUUAGGCCAAGAGUUUGAGACCAGCCUGGGCAACAUAGUGAGAUCCCAGCUCAACAAAACAUUAGAAUAAUUAGUUGGGCAUGGUAACAUAUACCUGUAGUCCCAGCUACUAAAGAGGCUGAGGUGGGAGGAUCGUUUGAGUCUGGGAGUUCAAGGUUACAAUGAGCUAUAAUCGGGCCACUACACUCCAGCCUGGGCGACAGAGCAGGACUGUCUCAAAAUAACAAUAAUAAUAAUAAAAUGAAAUGUAUUUAUUUGCUAUGUUCAUUGGAAGAAUAUUGCAUAGUGUCUGAAGAUUGCUGCAUGAGCAGAAAUAGAGUGCAGAGUCUUUGAGGUCCCCAGAAUGGGACAAUGACAUGCUCAUCGAGGUCUUCUCUAAGCAUGUUGGCCUCACUGCCUGGUCCUGGGCACAAUUCACAAGUGAAGGCACCACUAGAGUGUGAAGGUCACAUUGGCCUGAAGUUACUCACAUCUGUUCCUGUUUACAGCUGUCAAAGCCAUCUUGAAUAUGUUGCCAUCUGCACACCAACCUUGUGAUGAGGGCAGGAAGGCAUUAUGAUUGGUGUCAUUUUACAGUCCAGGUGCUGGUAAGACCAUAAAGUGAUCUUCUGACCUCUUUCUUCUCAUGUUUCACAGUCUGAUCUGGGUGUUUAAACUGACUACUUCACACUACCUCUCUUAGAAAAGGAAGAACCAAUUUAGAACAAUGUGCUUGGAGAAAUGAAGACUCCCUACGUUCCCUCCGCUCUCUACCUCCCACACACCCACUAACCCCUACUACAGCUAUGCCCCGGUGUCUUCAGGGAGCUCACCCAACAGGAGCAAGAGGACUUCUUUAAGCUGAGACUGCAAAGGUCAGAGACACCACUCAGCAAAGAGCCAGGAGGUGUGCAUUCUAAGCAGCAAAGCGGUUCUCAAUAUUCAGGAAAAGACCAGAUGUGGGGGCUCAUGCCUGUAAUCGAAGCACUCUGGGAGGCCAAGGCGGGAGGAUCCCUUGAGGUCAGGAGUUUGAGGCUGCAGUGAGCUACAAUGGCACCCCUGCACUCCAGCGUGGGUAACAGAGCAAGACUUGUCAUUACAUAAAUAAAUACUCAGGAAGAGAGAAGAAAAUGCCAGUAUGGCUUGAAUUUGGUUUGCUAUGGGGAGAGAGAGCAACGAGAUGAGGUUGGAGAGGUGGGGUUGGCGUCAGAUCUUGUAAGUCUGGCAAGGAGUCCAAGUUUUAUUCCAAGUACAAGAGCAAGUUUAAAUUUAAUGUAAGCAAGGAAUGACAAAUCUGACUUGUUUAGGGAGGCAGGACAUACAGUGGUUAAUAGUCCAAGCUCCAGAAUCAGACGACCUAGAUUUAAAUAUCAUUUCUACCAUUUAUUACAUGGGUGGGUGUAGGCAUAUUAUUUAAAAUCCACAUGUCAUGUUUCUCAUUUAUAAAAGAAAGAUAGCAGCAAUAAUAGCCCAGCAUAGGACUGUUUUAAAAUGAUUUAUUUGCCAAGCGUGGUGACUUAAUCCUCUCAUCGCAGCACUUUGGGAGGCUGAGGUGGGAAGAUGGCUUGAGCCCAGGAGUUUGAGAUCUGCCUGGGCAACAUAGGGGACCUUGUCUCUACAAAAGCAUUGGUAAAUGUUACUUGUCUAUAUUUUUAAAAACUAAUGCAUCCUACUGUGUGGAAAAUGGAUUGAGAGUGAGAGGGUAAGGAAAAAGACCAGCUGAGAAGUUAUUGAAGUGGCCCGAGGAAUAGUUCAUGGGGCUUGGUCUAAGUAAGUGAGGAUAGAGACAAAGAAAAGGAUAUAUAAUAAAGACAUGCUAAUUCAUUAGAUGAGGAAGAAUAAAUAACCAAUGAUGGUUCAUGGGUUUUGGACUGAAGAGAUGCCUUUUACUGAGAUGAGAAAAACUAGGGGUAGAAUUGGCUUAAGAAAAAAAUCAAAAGUUCAGUUUUAUCCAUGUCAUACCUCUUAAAUACUCAAGUGGAAAGGUCAAGAAGGCAAUUAGAUAAAACCAAGUAAAUGUAACUGUAGCUGGCUAGACUUCUUGUAGCAGAGAACAGGACUAGGCUCACCAUGUGAAACUGGGUGAAGAUAGAAAGUGUCAGGAAAAAUUACAAAAGACUUCGAAAUGGAUAAAAAAGAUUAGUGGGUGUCCUGUCUAGCUUUACCAUCCUGGUUAUCUCCAGAGGCUUUGCAACUCUCAAAGACAGUAAAUUCUGAAAAACCGGUAAUAGUGCCAAUGAUUCUUGCUCACAAAAGUGCAAUUGACUUGUGUCUGGUGAAAUGUAAUGGAUUAUGGUAUUGGAGAUAGACCAGUUUUUUAAAUCUGUUUGUAAAUUCAUUUCAACAUUUCUUUAUGCAUAUAAACAUGUGCUUCUUUGAAACAACUGUAACAUCUUACCGGUUCCCUCAUUAGUUAAUGAAUUAAAUAAAAUAUUUGACAAGCAUGGAUUUUAUAUUUGUAUGAGAAUUGUAGUUGAUCAUUUUAAAAAUUUAUCUGUUAACAAGGACAUUUUCCAAUGAAAAGAAGAUGAAGGGGAAAAAAGUGCUUCAACCAAACACUACUUAGAGCUGUGGACUGUACGUAACUUAAUAACCCAAGGAGGAAGAAGCCAUCAAAAAUAUCAUAGAGCCUGGACCUAUAACUAGUUAGCCUCUGGCUUUGAACCUAGACCUCUUCAUGGAAGGGGUUGUGAAUAGCAUCUCUCUUCCCCACCUGAGUUCUGAAUAUAUUGAACAAAAGACAAGUGAAUGAUUAUUGGAAGCCAAAAUAUCACCUUCUUAAUCAUAAAAGCUAGACUAGAGACAGGGUGUGUAGCUCUGUAUGAGAGCCAGCUGGGCUUUCUAUCACUGAACUCUAGAAUUAGACCAACUCACCCAAGCCACAGCAGUGCUAAACCAGGAAAAUCCGCUCAACAAAUGAUGCUUGGACAACAGAAUAAAUGCAUGAAAAUAGAUUGAAUCUCAACCCCUACCUCACACAACUCAUAAAAAUUAAUUCAGGAUUGAUCUUAGGCAUAAAUUUAAACUAUACCUAAAACUAUAAAACUUCUAGAAGAAAGCAAAAGAAAAUCUUUGUGAUCCUGGAGCCAGCAAAGAUUUUAUAGGUAGGACACACACAAAAAACAAUCAUAAAAGAAACAAAUGGAUAAAUUGAACUUCAUCAAAAUUAAAAACAUGAUCAAAGGGGAAAAACC
rnacentral:lncRNA from 1 species